rnacentral:rRNA from 1 species
AGCAGCCGCGGUAAUUCCAGCUCUAAUAGCGUAUAUUAAAGUUGUUGCAGUUAAAAAGCUCGUAGUUGAAUUUCGGGAUUCUACCGUCGGUCGGGCUAACAAGUCUGUACUGGUGUGUAGAAUUUCUACCUUCUGGGGAACUAUCAUGUUAUUAAUUUAGCGUGGUGGGAAACCAGGACCUUUACCUUGAAAAAAUUAGAGUGUUCAAAGCAGGCUUACGUCUGAAUACAUUAGCAUGGAAUAAUAGAAUAGGACGGUGGUCCUGUUUUGUUGGUUUCUGAAUCACCGUAAUGAUUAAUAGGGAUAGUUGGGGGCAUUAGUAUUCAAUUGUCAGAGGUGAAAUUCUUGGAUUUAUUGAAGACUAACUUCUGCGAAAGCAUUUGCCAAGGAUGUUUUCAUUAAUCAAGAACGAAGGUUAGGGGAUCGAAGACGAUCAGAUACCGUCGUAGUCUUAACCAUAAACUAUGCCGACUAGGGAUCGGACGAUGUUAAUUUUUUAAUGACUCG